rnacentral:rRNA from 1 species
GUCGAACGCGAAAGCUCCCUUCGGGGAGCAAGUAGAGUGGCGCACGGGUGAGUAACACGUAGGUAAUCUACCUUUGGAUGGGGAAUAACAACCGGAAACGGUUGCUAAUACCGCAUAAUGCAGCGGCACCUAAUGGUGACAGUUGUUAAAGCGGGGGAUCGCAAGACCUCGCGUCUGAAGAGGAGCCUGCGGCAGAUUAGCUAGUUGGUAAGGUAACGGCUUACCAAGGCGAUGAUCUGUAGCCGGCCUGAGAGGGCGGUCGGCCACACUGACACUGACAUACGGGUCAGACUCCUACGGGAGGCAGCAGUCGGGAAUUUUGGGCAAUGGGCGAAAGCCUGACCCAGCAACGCCGCGUGAAGGAUGAAAUCCCUCGGGAUGUAAACUUCGCAAGAACGGGAAGAAUAAGUAAGGGUUAAUAUCUCUUACGAUGACGGUACUGUUUGUAAGCUCCGGCUAACUCCGUGCCAGCAGCCGCGGUAAUACGGGGGGAGCAGGCGUUGUUCGGAUUUACUGGGCGUAAAGGGCGCGUAGGCGGCCACCGCAAGUCGACUGUGAAAUCUCCGGGCUUAACCCGGAAAGGUCAGCCGAUACUGCGGGGCUAGAGUGCAGAAGGGGCAACUGGAAUUCUCGGUGUAGCGGUGAAAUGCGUAGAUAUCGAGAGGAACACCUGCGGCGAAGGCGGGUUGCUGGGCUGACACUGACGCUGAGGCGCGAAAGCUAGGGGAGCGAACGGGAUUAGAUACCCCGGUAGUCCUAGCCUUAAACGAUGAAUGCUUGGUGUC